CCAAGAAACAAAGACAACUGCUAAGUGAUUUAGGUAGUUUUAUGUUGUUGGGCUCUAUUUUAUAUCCCCGCAACACGAAACUGUCUUAAUUGCCUCGCAGUGAGAUUCAGCACAACAAG
rnacentral:pre_miRNA from 8 species